UAAGACAUAUUCGUACGCAGAGAGUUCCGGUGCUUUUCAGAUCGGUUGUCACACCAGCAAACCGACAAGAUGACGAAAGUAUCUACAUGGGCUUACAAAAAUUUGUUUUCUAAAUCGUCAACAUUUCUUGCGACAGCAUGUUUUGCUGCAAUAGUUUUCGAGACCUUCUGGAACAGAGCGGCUGAUAGAACGUUUGACCGCAUAAACAAGGGGAGACAAUGGAAGGACAUCAAGCAUUUAUACGAUGACGAGUAGAUCCCUCAACAUAGACAUGUUUUUAUGGAGUGAAAGUCGUGUGAUUGAAGAGUCAACUCAAAUUUCAACCAACACCAGGACAUCUGAGGAAGAAAAAAUGCCAUUCUAGAACAAGACCAAAAUGUAUCCGAGGCUGAAUGUAACAUCUAUGAGCCAGAAGACCACAUCAAAGAAAACAUCUCAGAUUAUUCGUAAAAACAAAUUGAAGGAGAGAACUUGAAAGUUGAACCACUUGAGUGUUGUUUUCAAAACAUUAAUAAUUUAAUUUGAAAAACUAUUUUUCAAACUGAAUUAGAAUACUUCGUAGGAGUGUUUUGAUAAGUCAUUGUGUAGCACAAAAAACAGUAUUUAUAUUGUGUAAUAUUAGAUCUUUGUGAGAUGUGGCAAGACAUUUUUUGUUUUCAAUUAUAAAUUUAUUGGAAAAAAAU